GCAAGCCGCGGUAAUUCCAGCUCCAAUAGCGUAUAUUAAAGUUGCUGCAGUUAAAAAGCUCGUAGUUGGAUCUCGGUAUCACUUAGGAAUGGCGGGGAGGACCACGGUUGUGACGUCGACCCUGUCAACGUCCAUCCGGACAAUCUUCCGUCCUCUUUCUGGUGACACCUUUCAGCCAUGUCUGUGGUGAAAUACCCGCAGGUGUAGGCGAGUGUCUGCUGGUGUCCUAAUUUUUAGGCCCGCCGGCUCGUCUGCAUGCCUCUGGAUGCCCUUCAAAAGGUGUCCAAGGCGGAUGGCACGUUUACUUUGAACAAAUUUGAGUGCUCAAACCAGGCCGAUGUUGCCUGAAAAGUUUUGCAUGGAAUAAUGGAAUAGGACUUCGGUUCUAUUUCGUUKGUUUUCGGAUCCGAAGUAAUGAUCAAAAGAGACAGGCGGGGACGUUUGUAUGGCUGCGCUAGAGGUGAAAUUCAUGGACCGUARCCAGACAAACUAAAGCKAAAGCAUUCGUCAAGCAUGUUUUCAUUGSCCAUGAGCGAAAGUCAGAGGCUCGAAGACGAUCAGWUCCGCCUAG
rnacentral:rRNA from 1 species